GACGAACGCUGGCGGCGUGCUUAACACAUGCAAGUCGAACGGAAAGGCUCUAGCUUGUUGGUGUUCUCGAUUGGCGAACGCGUGAGUAACACGUGUGCAACCUGCCCUGCACUUUGGUAUAAGCCUGCGAAACUGGGUCUAAUACCGUAUAGGACCUUUCUCCCCAUGGGGUUCGGUGGAUAGUUUUUCGGUGCAGGAUGGGCGCGCGGCCUAUCGGCUUGUUGGGGGGGUAAUGGCCGACCAAGGCGACGACGGGUAGCCGGCCUGAGAGGGGGGUCGGCCACAUUGGGCCUGAGAUACGGCGCAGACGCCAACGGGAGGCAGCAGUGGGGAGUAUUGCACAAUGGGAGAAAGCCUGAUGCAGAGACGCUGCGUGAGGGAUGACGGCCUUCGGGUUGUAAACCGCCUUCAGUAGGGACGAAGCGCAAGUGACGGUACCUGAAGAAGAAGCACCGGCUAACUACGUG
rnacentral:rRNA from 1 species